AUUGAACGCUGGCGGCAGGCCUAACACAUGCAAGUCGAGCGAGUGGCGGACGGGUGAGUAAUGCUUGGGAAGCUAGCUUAUGGAGGGGGAUAACUACGGGAAACUGUAGCUAAUACCGCGUACCAUAGGAUGAGCCCAAGUGGUAUUAGGUAGUUGGUGAGGUAAAGGCUCACCAAGCCGACGAUCUCUAGCUGGGCUGAGAGGCGGACCGGCCACACUGGGACUGAGACACGGCCCAGACUCCUACGGGAGGCAGCAGGGGGGAAUAUUGCGCAAUGGGGGCAACCUGAAGCAGCCAUGCCGCGUGAAUGAAGAAGGCCUUCGGGUUGUAAAGUUCUUUCGGUAGCGAGGCGUUAACUACAGAAGAAGCACCGGCUAACUCCGUGCCAGCCGCCGCGGUAAUAC
rnacentral:rRNA from 1 species